GCUCCGGUAGCUCAAGCGGUAGAGCAGCGGUCUCCAAAACCGCAUGUUGCAGGUUCGAACCCUGCCGGGAGUG
rnacentral:tRNA from 1 species